UGGCUCUUUGAAGUUGACACAUAAAGAGUCGGACCUGCCCAGUGAUAAUUUUUUUAACGGCCGCGGUACUCUGACCGUGCGAAGGUAGCAUAAUCAUUUGCCCUAUAAUUGAGGGCUAGUAUGAAUGGUUUGACAUGAGCGUAGCUGUCUCCCUAAAAUUUUGUAAAAUUUGGUUUUUAGGUGAAGAAACCUAAAUUAAAUUGAAAGACAAGAAGACCCUAUCGAGCUUUAGAAUAAUUAAUUAAAAAAUAUAAAUAAAACAAUUAAUUUUAAUUAAAAACUUUGGUUGGGGCGACUGAGGAACAUAUAAAGCUUCCUUAAUUAGAUAAUGCUAAUAAGCGAUGAUCCAGAAAAUCUGAUUAAAAAAAUUAGUUACCGUAGGGAUAACAGCAUAAUCUUUUUUGAGAGCUCUUAUCGAAAAAAAGGUUUGUGACCUCGAUGUUGGACUAGGAUAUCCUAAAGAUGCAGAAGUCUUUAAUGGUUGCUCUGUUCGAGCAUAAAAAUCCU
rnacentral:rRNA from 1 species